GGAAGCUACUUACUUGGGAAAUGGGGUCUCCAGGGGAAGAAAGUAUGCAGAUGAUGGUGAAGGAAGACCUCAAGAUGAAAACCGUAUAGCAAGUUAAGAAGAGAGAUUAAUUCUUUGGGACAAGCAAAGGGUGGUCUUCACUCAAGAAGAUGUUAGAGCAACCUAAGGUGGAGGAGGAGAAGAAAGUGAAAGACAGAUGAAGGUGGUAGAAGCAGGAGUCUGAUCUCUCUAUUCCCUCAUUUUAGAAGUCAUUACUACAAUUAGCAUUAAAAUAAAUUCAUCAAAAAGAUAUUCAACAGGACAAACACACCAAGGUAGAAUUACAAUUACUUAGAUUCUCAAGAACAAAUCU